rnacentral:rRNA from 1 species
GAUGAACGCUGGCGGCGUGCCUAAUACAUGCAAGUCGAGCGAAUGGAUUAAGAGCUUGCUCUUAUGAAGUUAGCGGCGGACGGGUGAGUAACACGUGGGUAACCUGCCCAUAAGACUGGGAUAACUCCGGGAAAACGGGGCUAAUACCGGAUAACAUUUUGAACCGCAUGGUUCGAAAUUGAAAGGCGGCUUCGGCUUUCACUUAUGGAUGGACCCGCGUCGCAUUAGCUAGUUGGUGAGGUAACGGCUCAACAAGGCAACGAUGCGUAGCCCACCUGAGAGGGUGAUCGGCCACACUGGGACUGAGACACGGCCCAGACUCCUACGGGAGGCAGCAGUAGGGAAUCGUCCGCAAUGGACGAAAGGCUGACGGAGCAACGCCGCGUGAGUGAUGAAGGCUUUCGGGUCGUAAAACUCUGUUGUUAGGGAAGAACAAGUGCUAGUUGAAUAAGCUGGCACCUUGACGGUACCUAACCAGAAAGCCACGGCUAACUACGUGCCAGCCGCCGCGGUAA